GCUCCCUGAUGUUAGCGGCGGACGGGUGAGUAACACGUGGGUAACCUGCCUGUAAGACUGGGAUAACUCCGGGAAACCGGGGCUAAUACCGGAUGGUUGUUUGAACCGCAUGGUUCAAACAUAAAAGGUGGCUUCGGCUACCACUUACAGAUGGACCCGCGGCGCAUUAGCUAGUUGGUGAGGUAACGGCUCACCAAGGCAACGAUGCGUAGCCGACCUGAGAGGGUGAUCGGCCACACUGGGACUGAGACACGGCCCAGACUCCUACGGGAGGCAGCAGUAGGGAAUCUUCCGCAAUGGACGAAAGUCUGACGGAGCAACGCCGCGUGAGUGAUGAAGGUUUUCGGAUCGUAAAGCUCUGUUGUUAGGGAAGAACAAGUACCGUUCGAAUAGGGCGGUACCUUGACGGUACCUAACCAGAAAGCCACGGCUAACUACGUGCCAGCAGCCGCGGUAAUACGUAGGUGGCAAGCGUUGUCCGGAAUUAUUGGGCGUAAAGGGCUCGCAGGCGGUUUCUUAAGUCUGAUGUGAAAGCCCCCGGCUCAACC
rnacentral:rRNA from 1 species